rnacentral:rRNA from 1 species
GAUGAACGCUGGCGGCGUGCUUAACACAUGCAAGUCGAACGGUGAACGAGGGAGCUUGCUCCCUCCGGAUCAGUGGCGAACGGGUGAGUAACACGUGAGCAAUCUGCCCUGGACUCUGGGAUAAGCGUUGGAAACGACGUCUAAUACCGGAUACGAGGCGUGGGGGCAUCCCCAACGCCUGGAAAGAACUUCGGUCCAGGAUGAGCUCGCGGCCUAUCAGCUAGUUGGUGAGGUAACGGCUCACCAAGGCGACGACGGGUAGCCGGCCUGAGAGGGUGACCGGCCACACUGGGACUGAGACACGGCCCAGACUCCUACGGGAGGCAGCAGUGGGGAAUAUUGCACAAUGGGCGCAAGCCUGAUGCAGCAACGCCGCGUGAGGGACGACGGCCUUCGGGUUGUAAACCUCUUUCAGUGUCGACGAAGCCUCAUUUUGGUGGGGUGACGGUAGGCGCAGAAGAAGCACCGGCCAACUACGUGCCAGCCGCCGCCGUAAUAC